UACGGAAGGCCCGAGCGUUAAUCGGUAUCACUGGGCUUAAAGCGUGCCCAGGCGGAAAGGAAGGCGCCUGGUGAAAUCCCACGGCUCAACCGUGGAAUUGCUGGGCGAACCGCCGUUCUUGAGGCAGGUAGGGGUCAGCGGAACUAUGGGUGGAGCGGUGAAAUGCGUAGAUAUCCAUGGGUACGCCGAUGGCGAAGGCAGCUGACUGGGCCUGUCCUGACGCUCAGGCACGAAAGCGUGGGUAGCAAACGGG
rnacentral:rRNA from 1 species